AGAGAUGUGUGAUGACGCAUAUCAAUAAGCGGAGGAAAAGAAACUAACAAGGAUUCCCUUAGUAACGGCGAGUGAAGCGGGAAGAGCUCAAAUUUGAAAUCUUCAAGGUUCUACCUUGACGAAUUGUAGUUUAUAGAAGUGUUUUCUGUUAGUAGAGUGGCAAAAGUUCUUUGGAAUAGGACAUCAUAGAGGGUGAGAAUCCCGUAUUUGGUCAUUCUUUCUAGCUUUGUGAUACACUUUCAACGAGUCGGAUUGUUUGGGAAUGCAGUCCAAAAUGGGUGGUAAAUUUCAUCUAAAGCUAAAUAUUGGCGAGAGACCGAUAGCGAACAAGUACCGUGAGGGAAAGAUGAAAAGAACUUUGAAAAGAGAGUUAAACAGUACGUGAAAUUGUCAAAAGGGAAGCGUUUGACACCAGUGUUGUUUUUCCGAAAAUCAAUUACGAAUGUUUUGUUUUUGAGGAGUUAUGACUUCAUCGGCUUGCUCCUUUCUUUACGAAACUUUCUUAAUGCACUUUUCGGUUAACAAGUCAACAUCAAUUUCUUUUGUUGUAAAAGGGUAUGAGGAAGGUGGCUUUCUUUUCGGAGAAAGUGUUUAUUGCCUUGUACCUCUGCAAUCGGAGAGAUUGAGGUCUGCAGCGUAGAUCCUUCGGGAUUAGAUACAUUUGUGCUAAGUUAUAGCUUUUCAUAGACAACUUGUUGACUAUGUUUAGUCUUGUAGCUUACUCGCUUAUGCUAUUUUACCUACGCUUAGGAUGUUGACAGCAGUAUAGACUGU
rnacentral:rRNA from 1 species